UGGCAGGUACAGAGGGAUGCUACCGGGCGACCGGAUGCGGAUCUCGAAAGCCUGUCCCAGUUCGGACUGGAGUCUGCAACCCGACUCCACGAAGUUGGAUUCGCUAGUAAUCGCGCAUCAGCCAUGGCGCGGUGAAUACGUUCCCGGGCCUUGUACACACCGCCCGUCAAGCCAUGGGAGCCGGGGGCGCCUGAAGUCCGGGGCCGCGAGGACCGGCCUAGGGCGAAACUGGUAACUGGGGCUAAGUCGUAACAAGGUAUC
rnacentral:rRNA from 1 species